rnacentral:rRNA from 1 species
CCUACGGGAGGCAGCAGUGGGGAAUUUUGCACAAUGGGGGAAACCCUGAUGCAGCGACGCCGCGUGGAGGAUGAAGGCCUUCGGGUUGUAAACUCCUUUUGCAGGGGAAGAUAAUGACGGUACCCUGCGAAUAAGCCACGGCUAACUCUGUGCCAGCAGCCGCGGUAAUA